GUGAACGCCCUCACGGGCUUAUACUAUUCCAAACCUCUGUGAACCGUGCCCUUCGGGGCUAUUUACAAACAUGGUGUAAUGACGUCAUAUAUCAUAACAAAACA
rnacentral:misc_RNA from 1 species